rnacentral:rRNA from 1 species
UGGGGAAUAUGGCCAACUGGUGGUAACUCUGAUGCAGCGACGCCGCGUGAACGAAGAAGGCUUUCGAGUCGUAAAGUUCUUUUAUAUGGGAAGAUAAUGACGGUACCAUAAGAAGAAGCCCCGGCUAACUACGUGCCAGCAGCCGCGGUAAUACGUAGGGGGCUAGCGUUGUCCGGAAUCACUGGGCGUAAAGGGUUCGCAGGCGGAAAUGCAAGUCAGGUGUAAAAGGCAGUAGCUUAACUACUGUAAGCAUUUGAAACUGCAUAUCUUGAGAAGAGUAGAGGUAAGUGGAAUUUUUAGUGUAGCGGUGAAAUGCGUAGAUAUUAAAAAGAAUACCGGUGGCGAAGGCGACUUACUGGGCUCAUUCUGACGCUGAGGAACGAAAGCGUGGGUAGCAAACAGG